CCCCGCACUCGCCACAGCCCUUUCGGAGGAGCCACUUCCGGGAGAGAGCGGAAGAGGCGGGUUGGUGGAGGUGUGGUCUAGAUGGCGGCGCCUUUGCGGAUUCAGAGCGACUGGGCCCAAGCCCUCAGGAAGGAUGAAGGGGAGGCCUGGCUGAGCUGUCACCCCCCAGGAAAACCAACUUUGUAUGGCAGCCUAACUUGUCAAGGAAUGGGCCUUGAUGGUAUCCCAGAGAUUACAGCUUCAGAAGGAUUUAUUGUGAAUGAAAUAAGCAAGAAAAGCAUUCAUAUUUCAUGUCCAAAGGAAAAUGCAUCUUCGAAGUUUUUGACACCAUACACUACUUUUUCCAGAAUUCAUGCAAAGAGUAUAACAUGCCUGGACAUUUCCAGUGGAGGAGGCCUUGGUGUGUCUUCUAGUGCUGAUGGGAGCAUGAAAAUCUGGCAGGCUUCCAAUGGAGAACUCAGAAGAGUAUUGGAAGGACAUGUGUUUGAUGUGAAUUGUUGCAGGUUUUUCCCAUCAGGCCUUGUGGUUCUGAGUGGGGGAAUGGAUGCCCAGCUGAAGAUCUGGUCAGCUGAAGAUGCUAGCUGCGUGGCAACCUUCAAAGGUCACAAAGGAGGUAUCCUAGAUACAGCCAUUGUUGAUCGGGGGAGGAAUGUGGUAUCUGGUUCUCGAGAUGGAACAGCACGACUUUGGGAUUGUGGGCGCUCAGCCUGCCUGGGAGUCAUUGCAGACUGUGGUUCUUCCAUCAAUGGAGUGGCUGUGGGUGCUGCUGACAACUCCAUCAACCUCGGCUGCCCUGAGCAGAUGCCCAGUGAACGGGAGGUUGGAACAGAAUCGAAAAUGCUGCUGUUGGCCCGGGAAGAUAAGAAGCUUCAGUGCUUGGGACUACAGAGCAGGCAGCCGGUAUUCCUCUUUAUUGGCUCAGAUGCCUUCAACUGCUGUACUUUUCUCUCUGGCUUCUUGCUGUUGGCUGGGACACAGGAUGGAAACAUUUAUCAGCUGGAUGUGAGGAGUCCAAGGGCUCCAGUACAAGUCAUCCACAGAUCAGGAGCACCAGUUCUAUCCCUGCUGAGAUUCAGAGAUGGAUUCAUUGCUAGCCAAGGUGAUGGAAGCUGUUUCAUUGUCCAGCAGGACUUGGAUUAUGUCAUUGAGCUCACUGGGGCUGACUGUGACCCUGUCUACAAGGUACAGGCCUGACUGGAGGCCAAGACUUGAUGGUUCUCACCUGGCAUCUGGAGCUUCGGAGGGGACUGAAUCCAGUUACUCUGUGAUUUUUACGGGUCGCCACAUGGGAGAAGCAGAUCUACACAUGCUGUCGAGAUGGUCUCGUGCGGCGCUAUCAGCUCUCUGACCUCUGAUUCCUGUGAAGGAGGACUCCCAGUUAAUGAAAACGAUUGACCAUGACCAACAAUGAGCAGAAACAUCAUCAGUCCUUCCCGAGGACCGUGCUCUUUGUUGUCGUGGGCGCCCUUCGGAAGUCACAGAGUCAGCUACAUCGGCCACGUGGAACUGCUGUUCCACACAAGACUAAUGUGAACUGAGUAAGACGCUCACAUGUGCUCACUGCAUUUGCCCGACUUCUCCUUCUAUAAACUCACCGCAGCAACACAGGGAAGGUGAUGGGUUGCUUACGGUUUGAUCGCACAUCUGUUGUGUUAAAUGUUUAGAGGACCAGGCGACCGAAACCUGUCUCUGAAGGGAAUAAAGAGAGUGUGUUUGGAGGAGUCAGAAUUUGAAAACUUGUUAAAUGUUCUUAUUCCAGCAGAAAGUCAGUCAGGCUGAUGGACCUCCUUUCUCAGGCACUUCCUGUUGGCCUGGUCUUAGAGCAGUAAAGAUCCCACAGGCAGCAUGCUGGGAAAGGCUUUUGUACAGGUAGGAUGACUACCAUCCCAGUUUUCCUUGUACUGAGGGGUUUUCGGCUACCUGUGGCUUUCAGUCCCAGCAAACCGAGAUGGCCUGUCAGCCUAUAGACAGGCGAUGAAGUUGAACCAAAACAUUGUAAAGGCAGUGGCUGUGAAAGUGGCCCCUAGAGCAGCUUCUUAGUAUCACCAGGGAAUUAGAAAUAGAAAUUCUUGAGCCCACCUCAGACCUAAAUCAGAAAUUCUAUGGGUAGGGCCUACUAUCUAUUUUAACAAGCCUUCCAUGAUUCUGAAGCAUGCUGAAGUUUGAGAUCUAGAGAAAGAGAUGGUAGAGGGCACUUUAGUCAGAGAUGGAACCCAGGGCUCCUAGGUUGGCCAGGCUGGUCUGUAGGGGAUGAGGCUGGAGAGGCUGGCAGGGCCCGAAUAGUGAAGGAGCUUGACUGCCAGAUGGGGAGCUUGAACUGCGCUUGGCUGGCAGUGGGGAGUCAUGAAGGGGCUUUUAAGCAAAAGUGUGUUAUGGUUACUUCUUUUUUUCUCUAAACAUAAAAAUGGAAUCAUGUGUUCUGUGGCUUAUUUUCACUUAGUAUCUUAGUUCUUUCACAUUUAGACCUUCAUUCUUUUUAACAAUUUCCAGAACAUGAAAGCCAUAUCAUUUACAUUUUAGAGAUUAUUAAAGAAAAAGUUUGGAGCUUACAACACUUGAGCUGAGCCAUGUGGCUGAGCUCUGGAAUUUAUUUAAGGGAAGAAGGUAAUUCCUGGCUCAGGUAACAGUCUGGUUACAGAGUUCUUAAAGGCAUGUUCUCAUGUAGUCUUUUGCUACCUUGUGACAUACCAGUAGUGAGACUCAGAUGAAGUGAUUUGCCAGGGGUCAUAGAGAGCAGGAACUUGAACAGUUUAUCUUAACUUUAAAUGCCAUUUUUUUUCUACCUGUUGCUAAUGCCUAAACAAAAUUGUGAAAAUAAAAUAUUGUCAUUCAUUGAG